AACGAACGCUGGCGGCAUGCCUAACACAUGCAAGUCGAACGAGACCUUCGGGUCUAGUGGCGCACGGGUGCGUAACGCGUGGGAACCUGCCCUUAGGUUCGGAAUAACUCCCCGAAAGGGGUGCUAAUACCGGAUAAUGUCUUCGGACCAAAGAUUUAUCGCCUUUGGGUGGGCCCGCGUUGGAUUAGCUAGUUGGUAGGGUAAAAGCCUACCAAGGCGACGAUCCAUAGCUGGUCUGAGAGGAUGAUCAGCCACACUGGGACUGAGACACGGCCCAGACUCCUACGGGAAGCAGCAGUGGGGAAUAUUGGACAAUGGGCGAAAGCCUGAUCCAGCAAUGCCGCGUGAGUGAUGAAGGCCUUAGGGUUGUAAAGCUCUUUUACCCGGGAUGAUAAUGACAGUACCGGGAGAAUAAGCUCCGGCUAACUCCGUG
rnacentral:rRNA from 1 species